UACGUAGGGUGCGAGCGUUGUCCGGAAUUAUUGGGCGUAAAGAGCUCGUAGGCGGUUUGUUGCGUCGGCCGUGAAAACCUGCAGCUUAACUGUGGGCCUGCGGUCGAUACGGGCAGACUUGAGUUCGGUAGGGGAGACUGGAAUUCCUGGUGUAGCGGUGAAAUGCGUAGAUAUCGGGAGGAACACCGGUGGCGAAGGCGGCCCCCUGGUUGGAUACUGACGCUGAGACGCGAAAGCGUGGGGAGCAAACAGG
rnacentral:rRNA from 1 species